GGAACAUUGGAUAUCUAACUGGGAGUCAUGUGAGUGAAAACAUCCUAAGCUCAUCAAAGCUUCAGGACGAUGGACAGCGUGAUGUUCUGUGGUGGUCGCUGCAGCAGGGAAGAGAGAGAGACAACAGGUAACAUUGAGACAUUCUCUAUAUCCGGAGAGCAGCAGCAGGAAGAUCACAGACCUAAGAGGUCUCACCACUUCCCACAUUGUAAAGAGAUUUUCCCAAGUCUUUCAAAGCUAAAAAUACACACACGAGAGAAGCCUUACUCUUGCUCUGACUGUGGUAAAUACUUCCCAACAUCAUCUGCGCUAAAUGUUCAUCAGACCCUCCCUGAAUGCUUGAGGAAAAACAAGUGACUCUCCCCUCUUUCCAUAAUAAUAAUGAAAUAUAAAGUGGACAGCAGAGAACAUGCCUAUUGUUUACCCUCACUCCUAGAACAGACCAGAGCCUUAGAUACGCAGUUUUACAAACAGUUCUUCUUUUUGUAAGCGUCACAUGUCAAAGGUUGUGGAUUCCCAGAACACCGAAUAUAUUUUUUUAUUUCAGAACAGUGCAUGAUAAUGAAUGAGGCAUACUGCAGCACCCAAGACCUUUUGAUUUCUAUACAGGCUAUUGUUCAAAAAUAUUCUACAACGGGUUGGUCAAAACAAGCUUUGUGAUUGGUUGAGACGUGUUCUAAGCGAUUCAAAAAACAUUGUUUAGCACAGAUGAUGCAAAAAUGGGAAUCUUGUUUUCUGUUCUGUCUGACAGAUCCCUGCUCAUCCACUGGCCCAUCAGCCCAGCCAGCCAAUUAAUUAACUUGAUCUCCACUGUAAAAGGCAUCUAGACAUUAUUUCCCCUUGCUUCUAGCCUAACAUUUUUGUUUUGUUGUACAAACGUUGCUGUCUUUCUCUCAACAUUUGCAACAUCGUUUCAUUAUUGAAAUUCAAUAUGCACUAUCCUAUUGAGAAUUAACAUGUCAGGACAAGACUGACAUCUUGUCUCAGCCAGUUGAAAUUAUGAAUCCGCAAAAUCAUUAUGGAUAUAUACAAAGAAAUGUCCAUUUAAAACCAGGUCAAAGGAAAUUAAAAGUAGUUACUUUGCUGUUAUUCUAGCUGCAUGGUUUGAUGUGACUGUUAAUAGUAGUUGGCUAGCUAGCAGGCAAGGGAUAAGAGUGUUAUCAGUAUAAAUGUAUAGCUGGGGAGGUGACGCCCAUAAGGGAAGAGUAUAACAUGUGUUGUGAGCUUUCUAAAUGCAUGCACUCAGCUGACUGUAUCCUUGGUAUUAAACACUCUCUUAAACUUC